rnacentral:rRNA from 1 species
UUUUUUUGAGAGUUUGAUCCUGGCUCAGGAUGAACGCUAGCGGCGUGGAUAAGGCAUGCAAGUCAAGGGGUCCUUCGGAGUCCGCAAGGACGAAGGAGGAAACCGGCGAACGGGUUAGUAACACGUAGAUACUUACCCCAAAGACGGGCAUAAUCCCGCGAAAGCGGGAUUAAUUCCCGAUAGACCCUGAGAGCAAUCGAAGGGUAAAGGAGCAAUCCGCUUUGGGAGAGGUCUGCGGCUCAUCAGCUAGUUGGCAGGGUAAUGGCCUACCAAGGCGAUGACGGGUAGGGGAUAUGAGAGUGUGUUCCCCAACAAGGG